AAUUCAAGAUUCAAUUUCUUUGAUUUUGCCAUAUCAAAUGAAAGAUUUUUCAAUAAUUUAUUUUGAAACGAAGUGAUUUCUGGAAAAAUAGUCAUAGAUUGUACAGUUACAUAUAUAAUAUAUUUAAUAAAAAAUAUUUUAAUAAUUAAAACUAUAUGCUGUAAUCUUGCUUCUCAAAUGCAUUUGCAAGUGAACGUAUUUUAGUUGAUCUUGUUUAUAGUAAAUAACUAUUCCAUAUUAAUCUCUCAGAUUAAUAUAAAAUUGUAGAUCUAUAUCAUGGCUCAAUUCCGCCCAGCUGGACUUUCGGAUGACGAUUCAGAUAGCGACGACUAUGGAUUUUACGAAAAACCGUCAAGGGACUACUUUAUCCAGGAAAACCCAAAGAAGACUUUAGAAGUAAAACUACAAGAUGCUAUAAUAAAUGCAAAUAUUGAUGAAGUUGAAAACAUUGUCACAUAUGAUCUAAACAACAGAGUAAAUUUAAAGUUAGAUAGUGGAUGGACUCCUCUAAUGCAUGCCUGUUUCCAUGCCCAUGAUAAAAUUGUAGAUUUCUUAUUAGAACGAGGUGCUGAUCCAAAUCUUCAUGCAGAUUCAGUUACACCUAUAAUGGCUGUGUGUUCUAACAGUAGUGCCAACAAUGACACUAUAUAUCAUGUAAUAUGCAGCCUUAUUGAAAAUAAAUGUCUGCUCAAUGUUGGGGACAAAUAUGGUCAAACACCAUUGAUGAGAGCUAUUAGCAGUGGCAGAGUUGCAGUGGUUCAGAAACUCUUAGAUGAAGGUGUCAACAUAGAAAUGCGGGACCAGCAAGGUUGGACGGCAGUUUUUUGGGCAGCUCAUCAUAAUCAACCGGAAAUACUUGAACUGCUUAUAGCUCACAAGGCGAGGCUGACAGAAGUAGAUAAGUACAGUAGAACACCUAUUGAGAUCGCCAUGUCACAUGACUAUCAGAAUAUAGUCGAUAUAUUAAAUAAAUAUCUGAAGACAGAUGAGGAACUUGAAGAAACUAAAAGCAUUGUAAGUUUGAAUAGUCAAAUGCGGUCUUGGCACGAUUAUUAUCCGGGUGUCACCACAGAAGACAGAUUAACCUAUGUAUGUGAAAUUCCUCAUUUACUCUAUGGAAUGAGCUGUGAAAGUCUAGGCACCCUUAUUGAAAGCAGUGGUAUGAAUCUCCGCGAAUUUCUGUUGAUGGAAGAAGACAAAAUGAUAAAUUUAGGAAUAGAAAUGCCAUAUGAAAGACAAAGACUGAAAAUAGGUUUGAAAAAAUUCCAUUUAAGAGGAUGGAGAUUGAAUGCAGUUGCGGGCUUAUAUGCUAGAAAAUUUGAGAACUAUAGUGUAUUGGACUGUCUGACUGCACUAGGAACACAUAUGCAACAAGUUUACAUUUUGGAGGCAACCCUUCAAUAUGCUCUGCGCGAUUACAAUAGGAAUAAAAAUCAAAUAAAAUUUGAACCACCUGACUCGCCUCUCAUAUUGAGAAUGAAAACUGGCACGAAGAAACUGGUUUCUCAAAUAAAUAAUCUUAGAAGCGAAAUAAAAAAUAUGAAGGGUAUUCUUGUUAAGAAAUCUGACACUUUGCCAACAUUGAAACAGCUGAAUUAAGAAUGGAAAACAUAAUCAUUAGAAUUUUACGUUUUGAUUAAAUUUAGAAAUAUAAUGAUUAUUUUAAAAUAAAGAUCAUAUAAAUAUAAUGUAAAAAAACAGAAGGUUACAUAUCUUUUCUGGAGUGUCGAAAAAUGACACUUGUCAAUUCCAUACAAUUAUCAGGGAUGAGAUAAGCAAAGCCAACCCGCCGCCGGCUGACCUUAUUAAGGAGAAGCCCCUUUUUGAAGUGGCUCUCGGGUAUGUUACCGAUGUCCUGGUCAUCUGUUCCAUUGGAGCCCUCAUUUACCACUCGAGGAAUUAUCUGGCUCGCGUGACUAGCAAGUAGAUAGUUAUUCCAAUACAAUUUGUUGUUUCUUUUCAUUGA